UCUUCCACAAAAGAAAACAAGCAGAAGCAACAAAAGCAUUCACCAAUAUACAUAUUCAGUUUCAGUCUUGUACAUAAUCACAGUACCAUAAUGUUUCAUCUCCUACUUCAUCACUCCACACUAUUCUCUUUAUUCUGAUCAGAUACACAAGCCCAACAACAUGUAAGAACAAUUACAAUCACACUAACCAGACUUUUAAUUUGCUAAAUAAUUCACUGAAUAAGAAAUACCUACGAAACUUUCAGUAAUGAAAGAAAGACACGGAAUAUGCUAGGAUCAAAACCUUGAAAUUCUUGCAAUAAGCUUCAAUCGUGUUUGAGGGCCUCGGUGUUGAUGUGCGUUGAGAGUCGAAGCGAGGAGAGGAGUGCGGAGAAGGAGAAAGGGGUGGCGGUGGUGGCAGUCGCCACCGGGCAAGGGAAAGGAGAGCCGAAGGCGGCGGCUCUUACAGCUGCUGCUCGGCCAAGAUAGAGGUGGAAAAAGUGCGGCGCGGUGCUCUGCUGGCGGAAUGGGCGAAAGGGAGGUGGUAAAGCCAGCAGCCGACUCCGGCUACAGAAUGACGGCAGCAGCCCUCGCUGGCUGUUUGCUCGCUGCGAAUCGAGGGAGAGGAAGAGAGAUGUUAGGGUAUUAUUCCAAUUUAGGGAAUUUCUUCAAUUUGGAGCUUCGCGAGAAUGAGAGGAGAGGUACGCUGGUGGUGGCCGAGGGCAGCGACGCCGGCGUCUGUGUCUGUGUGUGUGCAGACUAUGCUGGAGUGUGUUUGUGCGUGAGUUGGUGUGUCUGAAAGUGGUUUGGGCUGAAUUGUUUUU
rnacentral:lncRNA from 1 species